rnacentral:rRNA from 1 species
GACGUAGGGGCCAGCGUUGUUCGGAAUUACUGGGUGUAAAGGGUUCGUAGGCGGUGUGGCAAGUCGGGAGUGAAAUUCUGGCUCAACUCAGAGACUGCUUCCGAAACUGCUGUGCUGGAGUGUGGGAGAGGCGCGUGGAAUUGCAGGUGUAGCGGUGAAAUGCGUAGAUAUCUGCAGGAACACCCGUGGCGAAAGCGAGGUCCUGGACGCCUACUGACGCUGAGACGCGAAAGCCAGGGAGCGAACGGG